UACGUAGGGGGCAAGCGUUGUCCGGAUUUAUUGGGCGUAAAGAGCGUGUAGGCGGCUUUGCAAGUCCGUUGUGAAAACUCGAGGCUCAACCUCGAGACGCCGGUGGAAACUGCAAAGCUAGAGUCCGGAAGAGGAGAGUGGAAUUCCUGGUGUAGCGGUGAAAUGCGCAGAUAUCAGGAGGAACACCGAUGGCGAAGGCAGGUCUCUGGGCCGAUACUGACGCUGAGGAGCGAAAGCGUGGGGAGCGAACAGG
rnacentral:rRNA from 1 species